CAGGUAGUAGUGGGUGUAAUGUACCUACUAGCUUACGACGGGUACGGGUUGUGAGAGCAAGAGCCCGGAGAUGGAUUCUGAGACAUGAAUCCAGGCCCUACGGGGCGCAGCAGGCGCGAAAACUUUACAAUGCGGGAAACCGUGAUAAGGGGACACCGAGUGCCAGCAUCAUAUGCUGGCUGUCCGGGUGUGUAAAAUACACCUGUUAGCAAGGGCCGGGCAAGACCGGUGCCAGCCGCCGCGGUAACACCGGCGGCCCGAGUGGUGAUCGUGAUUAUUGGGUCUAAAGGGUCCGUAGCCGGUUUGGUCAGUCCUCCGGGAAAUCUGACGGCUCAACCGUUAGGCUUUCGGGGGAUACUGCCAGACUUGGAACCGGGAGAGGUAAGAGGUACUACAGGGGUAGGAGUGAAAUCUUGUAAUCCCUGUGGGACCACCUGUGGCGAAGGCGUCUUACCAGAACGGGUUCGACGGUGAGGGACGAAAGCUGGGGGCACGAACCGGAUUAGAUACCCGGGUAGUCCCAGCCGUAAACGAUGCUCGCUAGGUGUCAGGCAUGGCGCGACCGUGUCUGGUGCCGCAGGGAAGCCGUGAAGCGAGCCACCUGGGAAGUACGGCCGCAAGGCUGAAACUUAAAGGAAUUGGCGGGGGAGCAC
rnacentral:rRNA from 1 species